rnacentral:siRNA from 1 species
AGGCAUCUCCAUCGGUGGUAUCUC